GUUGGUCGUCUGCCCCGGCUGCUGCUGCCGGCGUCUUCCGGCGACCGAAGCCCUCGAGGUUGUACUGCCGACCACCACUACAUGUUGCUGCCGCCCCCUCAGGAAUGACCAACGGGAAGAUGGGAGGAGAGAUGAAGAAGAAAUGGACCUCCUAUUAUGCUCGAUGCUCUUUUCCUCUCAGCAAAGAAACAAUCUAACCCCUUUGUGAAUGCAUCCAUUGUUUGACUGUUCAUCUCUAUUGAAAAUCCCUUUCUUGUUGUGGAAAUACUUGCCAAUCUAACACACUUCAAUUCGAAUUUCAACAACCAGCUGGAGGAGGAUGUUAGUGCUCUGAGUACUAGUUGUAGUUUACUGCGGAGGUUCAGGUUUUUAGGAGACGACCUAUAGCCCAGAAAGCCAUCAGCUGAGCCUGAUGUCUAAACUAGUUGUUCUACCUAUGUUUUCAGUUUAAUGCUAUAGUACUUAUCAUCCAAGCUCAGUGCUUCCUGACAAAGUCAGUGAGAGUAAUUUCAUAUCCUGCUGUUUUCCUUUUUUACAAAUACCCAAACUUGUAAAAACCAGAACUAAUUCAUAUAAAAUCAGAAAAAUGCAAAUAAGAUAGAAGAUUGUUCUAAAAAAUAAAAUCUAUCUGUGUAUACAAAAUUCAUGCAUUUUUUUGAAUCAAUUACAAAACGGUCUUAAUAAGAGAACAGUUCGAGCACUCUUUAAAUUUGGGGUUUAUUGGAAUACUACGUCUUGAGCAUUUCAACUCCAUUUAAUUUGGUGAUCAUAGGAAUAAUAUGUCAUUGCUUUGACAUUAAUUGUGGUUAAUUUGUGAAUCCAGGAACAAGGGAGGCACCCUUGCAUGCUUUGCCAUAAGGAAGUCGAAAAGAAUAAAGAUUGAAAAAUGAAGCUCCUGCAUUGGCUCUCUGCUUUGUUGGCUACCUAUCUGGCUGCUAAGUCUUCGACUCCAUCGGCACCAUGGACAUAACUACUAUUGUAACAUGUGGUUUGCAAGUGAAGCUGCUUGCAAUUAUAUGUGGAGCAGCUGACAGAUGAAUCAUACCUGUACAUACAUUGGUGUCUAUAUAUCUUGACAUGAGGGUGGAUCAAGAUAAGACAUUGGAAGAAAUAAUUAAAGAAGAAGCAAGAACAUCACAAUCAACUGGCUGUUCAGUGAACGGUACAGUUGAGAGAUAGGAAGAGGCGGAAGAUGACACGAUGAUAAGGUGCCUUGACAAACAACAUUGUUCAAAUGCUGAUGAUGCCAGCAACAAUCUAUCAACGUUGCACGAUGAUCUCGAAUAUGUUAGCUUAUUUUCGAAGAACGAUAAAUAUGUCCCUCUCUUCAGUUUGGAGGAACACCCUAGAUAUUGUAGAGAAGAGGAAUUCCUUGCGUAAGCAGAUCACGGAGAAUAUCAUUGUUGCUGCUGCAAAUUGAAAGGACUUAGAAGAGACAGUAAGUGAUGAUGAUAAGUUCAGGGUAUGAAGUUGCAGACGAUGAGCUGACCAACAAAAGUGCAAAGGCCUGAGGAAGAUACUCGACGAGGGGAAGGAGCAUCUUAAUGAAUAGCAAAGGGUCGUGUGGGUACAUUGAAUCCCGCCUGCCGGAUGGCAUCAAGCAUGCGACAAUGUUGAGCCAGGGUGGAUGUGAGGAAGCUGACAACAAAAAAGAUGCAGGGGUUCCAAAGACUGCUGCCGGGACUGCCUGCGAGACUACGGGGACAAGCUGAAGAAUCAGAUACACGAGUUGGGCGAGAACCUUACCUUGAUCGAGUCAGCGGCGUCCAAGGGCGCUGGCAAUGAAUUUAUUUUCCUCGUAGACCGGUGAUCCUGGAUUUGAACUUUAAGCGCCUUCGGCUGAUGUAUUCUUGCAUUUACUUUCUGUUCAUAGCUAGCUGCUGUUGGCUUCCUCAUGUUGAAGCUUGUGGUGAAGUCUGGUUUGCUGGCAUGCAUUUCCUGGGUGUCUCCUUCAUUAUGACCAUAUUUUGUAUUCAGGGUGUUAGACCUGGUGUUCGCUAUGUCGUGCCUGUUGUGCAUAUGCAUUUAUGGGCACCGAGUAGAAGGAAAAUAUAUGUAGAUGCUUGUAUAUAGAGAAAUAUUUGUAUGUGAGGUUUCACAGCUGCCUAAACUCCUGCGAUGUCGCUCACAUUGGCAUGUAAUAUCUUCAUUGGAUUCCGCUACAGAUCAGCUGGAAUUUCAUGUAAUUUUCCAUCGAACUAUAUUUGUUGUUGAAUGUUAGAA